UACGUAGGGGGGCUAGCGUUGUCCGGAAUCAUUGGGCGUAAAGAGCGUGUAGGCGGUCCGGUAAGUCCGCUGUGAAAGUCGGGGGCUCAACCCUCGAAUGCCGGUGGAUACUGUCGGGCUAGAGUGCGGAAGAGGCGAGUGGAAUUCCUGGUGUAGCGGUGAAAUGCGCAGAUAUCAGGAGGAACACCAAUUGCGAAGGCAGCUCGCUGGGACGUAACUGACGCUGAGACGCGAAAAGCGUGGGGAGCAAACAGG
rnacentral:rRNA from 1 species